CCUCCAUUAACUCAGUUGGUAGAGUAAUCGGCUUUUAACCGAAAAGUCCGGCGUUCGAGUCGCCGAUGGAGGA
rnacentral:tRNA from 1 species